UGACCGCUGGGCUAGAGGCUGGGGUGAGGGAUCAAGGCGGACUUUGAAAAGCCCGGCAGGUGAAAGCUGAUCCUGGGAAGGAGAUCCUCUGAAACCGAUUACAAAAUCCACACUUUACUCCUGCUGGCCCAUUCCUCCAUAAAAUUCUGUGCUGGUUGUAUUUGAUUAAAACUGAACCUUAACUGAAUCAAUCGAAAACAAAUGCCCUGUUCAGAUCUUAAUAAUUGUUUUGAAAAUGAAAAGGGACAACUUUGUGGCCUUUAAUUCUUUUCUGCUCAAAUUUUUCUCUUAAUUUUUUAUGUGUAAAAUCAUCCCCUGUUCCAUUACACCCUGACUGUCAAGAAGGAAAUAGAUUUUAUUGCUGUUUAUGUCAGAUUCCAUUUGGUGUCUCACCACAUUUAUUGGCUUGCUGCUCCUGACUUUAAUUCUGACUGGAAGGGAAGGAAUCCCAGUUUUUGUUUCCUAAGGCAGGUCGUUGUAUGAAUGGACAUAUCUCAUUUUGUAGAUCAGGCCUGGGGAAAGACAUUGUGUCCCCAAACCUCUGCCUAAUUUUUUAAAAUAGUUAGCAAAGGGGAAGAGAGUAGCUGUGUCCAGGCUAAGUACUGCAGGUGUUCUGGGCAACAAGAGGAGCAAAAUAGAAUGUGGGGAAGUUGAGGGAUUUGUAGCCUCUUUGCAAUUGUGUCUUUUCUCUAGAGUACUGUUUUAUCUGACAUUUGGAACUGCACAAUUUUAAAAACAUAAAAUGGCCACCAUAAUAUUAAAAAUUCUUAAUAUGCUGGGCACAGUGGCAUAUGCUUGUAAUCUCAGUGGCUUUGGAGGCUGAGACAGGAGGAACACAGGUUCAAAGCCAGCCUUAGCAACUCAGUGAGGCCCUAGGCAACUUAGCAAGACUUUGCCUCAAAAUAAAAAACAAAAAGGGCUGAGGAUGUGGCACAGUGGUCAAGCACCCUUGAGUUCAACCCCCAAUACUAAAAAAAUUAAAAUGUAAGUAAUUUUUCAAUCAACACUACUCUUGUGUAGGUAUGCAACUUACUCAAAAUUCAAGAAAGGAUAUUUUCAAAUAUAUAUUCUGAAUCUUUAAGUUACAAAUAGCCUUAAGAAUUUACACAACACAGAAGGACCAGCAAAUCUCUGAGGAAGAUAAAUAGUUAACAUCAGUUAUAGAAAGAAAAUACAGGCUUAGAUUUAUAACUCAUUUAAAAAAGGAGUGUUUUUAAAACAGUAACCCUCCCCAUUAAGGAAGCAUCAACAAUAUUCUGUGGUUAGCUAUAAGAUAAAACUAGAUUUAGAUGACAAUGAGGUACAAAAAUUCAACUUGAACAUUCUGCAAGUAAUAAGCAUAGUAUUGUACUAUCUGCUAGUGAAAGAAACACUUCAUCCAUGAGAAAUUAAUAGAGGAAUAUUGGAUGUGAGUUCAUAAAUAAGUUGAGAUUUGUCUCCUAGUUUCAAUU
rnacentral:lncRNA from 1 species